GAGUUUGAUCAUGGCUCAGGAUGAACGCUAGCUACAGGCUUUAGCACAUGCAAGUCGAGGGGCAUCAGGAAGAAAGCUUGCUUUCUUGCUGGCGACCGGCGCACGGGUGAGUAACACGUAUCCAACCUGCCCUUUACUCGGGGAUAGCCUUUCGAAAGAAAGAUUAAUACCCGAUAGCAUAAUGAUUCCGCAUGGUUUCAUUAUUAAAGGAUCCGGUAAAGGAUGGGGAUGCGUUCCAUUAGGUUGUUGGUGAGGUAACGGCUCACCAAGCCUACGAUGGAUAGGGGCUCUGAGAGGAAGGUCCCCCACAUUGGAACUGAGACACGGUCCAAACUCCUACGGGAGGCAGCAGUGAGGAAUAUUGGUCAAUGGGCGCUAGCCUGAACCAGCCAAGUAGCGUGAAGGAUGAAGGCUCUAUGGGUCGUAAACUUCUUUUAUAUAAGAAUAAAGUGCAGUAUGUAUACUGUUUUGUAUGUAUUAUAUGAAUAAGGAUCGGCUAAUUCCGUGCCAGCAGCCGCGGUAAUACGGAGGAUCCGAGCGUUAUCCGGAUUUAUUGGGUUUAAAGGGAGCGUAGGUGGACUGGUAAGUCAGUUGUGAAAGUUUGCGGCUCAACCGUAAAAUUGCAGUUGAUACUGUCAGUCUUGAGUACAGUAGAGGUGGGCGGAAUUCGUGGUGUAGCGGUGAAAUGCUUAGAUAUCACGAAGAACUCCGAUUGCGAAGGCAGCUCACUGGACUGCAACUGACACUGAUGCUCGAAAGUGUGGGUAUCAAACAGGAUUAGAUACCCUGGUAGUCCACACAGUAAACGAUGAAUACUCGCUGUUUGCGAUAUACAGUAAGCGGCC
rnacentral:rRNA from 1 species